CUGCUCUCGGGGCCCUUUCCAGCCAGUUUCUCCCACGUGGCAGCAACUGUAGACGGCAAGAACGAUGUGGCAACUCGGCCUCAGCUCAAGGGUCACCAUGUUCCUUGGGAGGUUGUCUGCUAAAUAAAGUGAAGAGUGAGGAGCUCCAGGCCGUGAUUGGAUGCUCAGAAAAUGGUAGCUUCUCUGACCACCUUCCCUCCUCCUUGCUCUUUGUUAGUGUGGCAUCUGUCCGUGUGAGAGAACCUUCCCGGUAACCACUGAAAGUGCACAUCUGACCUGGUUGAAAUGGGAUGAAGCCAUGUUGGUUCUACUGGUGACAACCACUUGAAUAAAUGUUCUGCUUAUAUUAGAAUGAAUUGUAAAUUGAAGAAAAUGACUUAGGCCCUUCAAAUACUUUUGGGCUCCAUACAUCCAUGAAAUGCCAUCUGUAAUAUGAGAAGCUUCAUUUUUUAUGUUUGCCUCAGAAUCACUCUCAGAGCCAGAGAUUAUGGAUUAAAAAAAAAAUUUAGACACUGCAAGGAAGCAAUUUCAAUAUCAUCAUGUGGUGAACUGUUUAAGUUUCUUAGUAUAGACAGCCCCGUUCUGUGAGAAAGCAAUGGAAAAAACAAGGCCUUCUACAUACAAGAAAAAGUAAAAGUAAAAAACCCACUGAAUUGUGUUGACACUUUGUUGGUAAAAUUCUACAUGAAUUGGUCACCUGCUUGUGUGAGCGAGUCAGUGCUGCUACUCUUGGCCCUGCCAUACGGAGUCACCAGAAAGCAAGACCCACGGGACUUAGAGAAGGGAGUGAGAAGGGAUAGCAGCAGGCGCCACCGCGUCACUGCAGGCCAGACUACAGAGACCUUCAAAGGAAAGCUCCAAAUGGAAUCAAUUGACUUAAUCUUUCCUCGGACGGAGAGGUUCCAAAAUCAGUGAGGACAAUUCCCACUUCUGGCACUUAUGCCAAAGAUAUGAAUGUAUCUUUAACCACGAACUUCUUUGUUGAGUUCUUUUACUGAACAAGCAUGUUUGUAUGCCAGGCUUUCUGCUAGGUACUACACAAAGACCUAAAAGAUCAUCAGUUCUGCCCCAUACUAUGCCCUCAUUAAAUAUUGUUGAGCGAAUCAAUCAGUGAAUGCAUGAAUGAAGAACUAAAACGUACAAUCCAAUUAAGGGAGAAAACAAAGGCAAGGAGGUGGAAGGUACAGAGUUCAGUGGAGUGAGUCACCAUUCUACUCAGGGU